rnacentral:rRNA from 1 species
UACGUAGGGUGCGAGCGUUGUCCGGAAUUAUUGGGCGUAAAGAGCUUGUAGGCGGUCUGUCGCGUCUGCUGUGAAAAUCCGGGGCUCAACCCCGGACUUGCAGUGGGUACGGGCAGACUAGAGUGUGGUAGGGGAGACUGGAAUUCCUGGUGUAGCGGUGAAAUGCGCAGAUAUCAGGAGGAACACCGAUGGCGAAGGCAGGUCUCUGGGCCACGACUGACGCUGAGAAGCGAAAGCAUGGGGAGCGAACAGG